rnacentral:misc_RNA from 1 species
AUGGACGGCGAUCUUCGGGUCAAUCCCGUUAAGCUGCGGCCAGAUCGAUACGACGCUGGCCCACUCGACCUCCGGAUAGGCCAGCAGCUCGAAUGCUGUCCGGCGCUGGCCAUCGUGGUUCAGCAUCAGACCGUGCUUUGCGGCCUCGUUCGGUGUUACGGAGAGGGAUUUCGCCAGUGAUUUCGCGGUGUUAAGUUCGGCCAUCUUGGCAGCGUGACGCCCUGCCCGUUCGCUGCCGACGCAUCCCAGGGCAAUGCCCCGUUCGGUCAGGCGCUGAUCGGCA